CAGCAGUGGGGGAUAUUGCACAAUGGGGGGAACCCGUGAUGCAGCGACGCCGCGUGGGUGAAGAAGCGCCUCGGCGCGUAAAGCCCUGUCAGCAGGGAAGAAAAUGACGGUACCUGAAGAAGAAGCCCCGGCUAACUACGUGCC
rnacentral:rRNA from 1 species